AACCCCGACACAGCCCUAACCCAGGAACCCUUGUCGGCUUAACCUAAUCACGCCUCCUCUCAUCCCGGCGGUUACCGUCGAACGGCUCUCAACCGUCGCGCUUGUCACGGAGAGCAUCAGCGGACUAACCGCAAGCUCAUCCCAAACAUCAACUAGCCUACUGGGCAUAUGAAGCCCGAGUCUCAAGAACACUGCUUUCCUUCUCAUGUCGUCGUCUCCAUCGAUGGAGAGCUUCAUCGGCUACCGAUAGCUCAUCCCUUCAAAUCCGAACAACCAUCCUAACGACAAGAACCACACCGC
rnacentral:lncRNA from 1 species